AAUGGCUAUUAUUAUCAAUUUACAUGGUUUUAGCAGUCACAGCAUUCUUUAUUUAAGACUAAGUAGAUAGUGCUAUGACCGAGAUAAUUUCUGUAUAUUUUAUACCGAUUACAUGGAGAGUUUUCAGCCUGAGCUGAAUUUCAGCCCGGUAAACCGAGCCGAAAUAGCAUCACGAUUACAUGGGCAGUUUGAACCUGGGCUGAGUUUUAGUCAGAGCAAUAUUUAUUCCUUGUAGUAUUAAAACAAACCCAGGAUGAAAUGUCAUCCCGGCCUGAAAUCAUACGAUAUCACGAAAGGCAAUAUUCCGCUUGUUUGAGCAUUUAAAACGCCGAUUAAUUAGUCGACUAUUUGACUUGUGUAAGACUGUGGUUGCAUAAUUAUUUGCAAUUACAUGCAUGGGAUAUUUCAUCCCGGUUGACAGGGCUGAAAAUCUCAUCCUGGGUGACAUAAACCGGGAUGAAAAUUUCAACCCGGCCUGAAUUUCAGCCCUGUCAACCGGGAUGAAAUAUCCCAUGUAAUCGCAAAUAAUUUCAGCCCGGGCUAAAAAAACAAUCGUUUAAGUGGCUUUAUUUUGCAUUUCGUUUGCAAUUCGAAAUUUUUUCCAUGUAAUCGUAAAAUUCAUAUUAUAUUGAAUUUAUAGGGGCCCCGGUCUGAAAUUUCAUCCCUGUUUGCCAGGCUGAAAUUUCAUCCCGGGCUGAAAACCUCCACGUAAUCGGCCCCUUAUUUUAACUAAAGACAAAACUUAGCACAUUUUCACUAAGCUAUAAAAGAAGGAUGACUUCGAAAUUAUUUUCAGUUUUUUUUAAUUGUUAGUUUGCAUGUGGUUUGGCUGAACAUGCUCAGAGACAGAGAAAUUGUGUUCUCAAACUCAUUAAUAAUUUAUAAACCGAAAACAAAGGAAAUUAAUGUUUAAUCAUGGGCGUACAGGAAGGAAAAAAUUAGGGGGGCGGAAAGAAAUUUGCCCGACUUUUUCGGAUUGUGCCCGACCAGUGCCGAAAAAUUUUUUUCCGUAACAAAUUAAUUUUGGCGACCUCCCCCCCCCGUUUCGGUCAGUGUAUCAUUUUAGGGGUCCAAAAAUUUUUCGGAACAUCAUACAAAUUUUCAACACAUCACAAAAUUGACCACAAAAUUGACGGAAUUUCCCACAAAAUUGACAGAAUUUGUCCCAUUUAUUUUUAUAAUAAGCCAAUAUUGCCCGACUGUGGAGCGAAUAUUGCCCGACUGACUUUGUUUGCCCAACAAACUGGGGGGGGGGGGCUGCCGCCCACCCCGGUACGCCCAUGUGUUUAAUCAGUGUUUUGAAACUGGAAGAAAACUAUCUUAAAAGCAGGUGGAGGAUUUGAAAUCUCCCAGGGUCAGCGGGCAGGGUGGAAACAGGCAGAAAUUUUUCAAGGUACUAGUAGUUUGAAAUUUUUUAAGGUACUAGUAUUUUUAAAUUUUUCAAGGAACUAGUACACUGGAAUUAAUUUAAGGUACAGAAUAUUGUUCUGCCAUUAACAAAACUACAAAGCAAAAUUAAACACACUUGAAUCCUAAACACUUUUGUGGUGAAAAGUAAACUAUCAGGUAAAAGCGCCGGUUUGUCUUGAGACAGCGAUCGGGCGAUGUAAUUAACGUGUAAAUUUCUUAUCUGGAAAGUUUGAUACUGCAUGUCUAAAAAUAGAUCUUGCCAAGGUCUGACCGUCAUGGAUAUAAAGUGCUCCUUUUUCGCAAUAGUUGUUGGUCAUUGUGGCCAUGAUACUAGAGUUAAAAACAAAUCAUCAGAAUGCGUUCAGUUGUUAAAUUGUAAUCAUGAUUUACAGGGCAUAAAUCGGAAAACAUUGAGCAAUUCGUAAUAUAUCCUGCACAUCGAUCUACUCUUGGAGCAGGGUGGAAACAGGCAGAAAACGAGAAAUGUAGAAUUCCUGUGAUUCUAUCAAAUAUUUCUUUACCACUAUUUCCAUUGUUACUAGAAACGCGAUGAUAGAGACAACAGUCACGACAGGGAAAUCGGGUAAAACACUGCCAAACAAUUUUUUAGGUACUUUAUUGACUUUGAUUGGCAG
rnacentral:lncRNA from 1 species